UUACAGGUAGAAUUAGUCUCCAAGACUCACUGUGGUAAUAGCAGGUAGCAUUAAUAGCAGGUAGCAUUAAUAGCAGGUAGCAUUAAUAGCAGGUAGCAUUAAUAGCAGGUAGCAUUAAUAGCAGGUAGCAUUAAUAGCAGGUAGCAUUAACGGAAUGCUAGCAGGUAGAAUUAGUCUCCAAGACGUUUACAUAAUGACUUACUGCACUAAUAGCAGGUAGCAUUAAUAGCAGGUAGCAUUAAUAGCAGGUAGCAUUAAUAACAGGUAGAACUAGUCUCCAAGACAUU